UACAGAGGUGGCAAGCGUUGUUCGGAUUUACUGGGCGUAAAGGGCGCGUAGGCGGCUUGACAAGUCCAAGGUGAAAUCCCUCGGCUCAACCCGAGGAACUGCCUUGGAAACUGUCUGGCUUGAGGCCGGGAGAGGGUAGUGGAAUUCCCAGUGUAGCGGUGAAAUGCGUAGAUAUUGGGAGGAACACCGAUGGCGAAGGCAGAUCUCUGGGCCGUAACUGACGCUGAGGAGCGAAAGCGUGGGGAGCGAACAGG
rnacentral:rRNA from 1 species